UAGAGAUUUGUCUCAGGUAUCAU
rnacentral:piRNA from 1 species